AAAGCAAAACACGAAAGAAGAAAAAAAUUGUUAAGUCUCAUGAUUUAUUUGGAAUUGUCUUAUUAUUGGAUGUCAAUGAUUAAAAAAAAGGACAGAGGGAAUGUAAAAAUAGGAUGUAAGUCGAAUCUGAAGAAAGGGGAAAUGAAGUAAAAAAAAAAAGGAAGACAAAAUAGACUAAGAAACCAGUAGGUAUUUAUAGCACAACAAUCACCUUACGAGUGACUACUGUUGGCUUGGAUCUUUAAAGCAGAAAAAAUGAAAGGACAUCCAGUCUAAACUAGAUCUCUCUGAUAUUUCAUUCUGUAUGUAUGAGGCAGGAAAUAGUUUUGAAAUGCAGCAAUUUCCUCCCUAGAAAAGCAACUUACUUUGCAAAUAUUAAAGUUGAUAGUGCUGCAAAUCUCUGCCCAUAAGCAUUAAGCCUGAAGUGGAUGAUGGCAAUUUUGAUUGGGAAAAUAAAUUCUUUCAGGUAAAAUGAUCUGCAGGAGAGAGAACAAAAGAACCCUACUCUGAAGUACUUGGCCAGGAGUAAGGGGUUUUGAUAUUCAUGUUUCUCUGCCUCAGCAGAGAAAUACUGAUUUUUUCAGUUUGUUUACCUGAGCCGUUUGUUACUGCACAGAUUGGAGAGGUGAAAUUUCAUUACUUACCACAUAAGGCAGUCAUGUAGUGCAGCUUUGGUGCGCUGCCUAAAGCAUUAUAAUGAUAAGGUUUAGUGCCAUUGUACAUCUGUUCUAGGAAUUCUUGGGACAAGCAUGGGAACUUGGUUUAAAUAAGAAAUUUUAAGUUCAUGUUGACUUCCUACCAUAUUAAAUAUAAUAUGCCAUUUCUUUUUUUCUUUUUCUUCCACCCUCUUUACUUAAUUUCCUUUGUCACUUGGUAUAUCUUUAAAUCAGAAGCUGUUGUGAAGUGAAACCAUAUUUAUAUAGUACUUUUUGGUGCACCUUAUUCUUGACAGGCAGCCCUUGGCAUGACCUCAACAAUGCCACUGUGCCAGCUUGGAUUUGUAAACCUGAUUUUAUGUAAUGAUUUCAUUUAUUUAGACUUUUACCUGUUGGAAAUUGUUAGACUGGUUUGUCUGGGUGAGAAGAAUUAGCAAGAGAAUAAUCCUUCUGUGGCCGUGGGAUAGUGCAGUUGAAAUCUCGUGCCUUUCCUGCCAUCCUCAGUCCCAUUUCCCAAUCACAUAAAUACCAAACUUCAGAGGUGUUCAUCUGAUGCUGGGGAUAGAUUUAUUUUAAUGAUAGCAAUUUGUAAAUGACUGAAUUAAAAAUGAGUUUAUAUUGUAAUGGUUCUAUCUAUUUUCAGAAUGUGUUUUUUUUCAUAACAGAGGCAGAUGUGGGAAAGCCUGGGGACAGACACAGAAUUUUAACUGUGAUAAAGAGACAACAGUCAUUUAAAUUUUCCUGAGUGGCGAUCUCAGCAUCUCUCAAAUUCCUGGAGAUUUCUCCUUUAUAAUCUAUGUUCUACAGGCAGGUUAUUAGUCGAUUGCAAAGUUUGAAAAGUCACUUGGCAGGAACAAAAAUCACUAUGCUCCCAAAGCAGACUGUCUGUUCUAAUCCAACUAACAGCGAUUAGCAUAAUUAUACCCCAGUGUCGUGGGAUGACAACCAGACAUAGCCCACAUCUAAAACAAGCACUUAGCACGCAGACAUAUGGAAUACCUUCCUCAUGUGUCAUAUUUUAAAUCACACCUCUCUGUUGUUAAGAUCUAUUGCUCAUGACUCUGCAGUAUUUUCCCUUCUCUGUCUUAUUCCCAGUAUUUCUUGUUUUCAAAUGUCAGAAUUGCUAAGUUGUGGAUUCUGGGGCAGGUAUAUAGCACUUUUUUUUGUUUUGUUUUUUGUUUAUCAUGCUUUAACUUCCCCCAUCCUUGGUUUUAUUUUCUGUUCAGCACAAAGUUAAUAAUAUUAUGAGAGAUCAUUUGUGUUAAGUGUCUAAAGCAAGGAGAAGUAAAGGCAGAUGUUUUCAGUGGGGUUUGUACUGAUAUAAUUUUUCACUAGUGCAUGUAGUAUAUAUUUGAUAAAAUCUGGAGGAUAUGUCUGGCUUCACAUCUGUAAAUCUUGCCUGUUUCUUGUAGGAAAACUGACAAGUUCAGGUCUUGGUUCUGAUCUGGAUGCUGGUUGUUUCUCAGACCAGAAGAGAAAAAGAAGUCUCCAGGCUGGAAGACACGAUUCAUAUAACGUGGGACAGACCAGAAGGGGAUGUUUCAUACAACAGAACAGUAGGUAUAACAGUAUUUACUAGUGUCUGGGGUGCCCUGGAGCAGUAAGGAGAUAUGGUGCCUGAUAUCAUUGGCCUGCUGUAGGACUAGCACUGGUCAGUGAACCCUGCCAAGCCGAUCCAGCCCUUUGGAUGGCUUCAGAAGUGCUACUGCUGCAGUCUCCCCAAGGGACCCCUGCUUUGUUUUACACAGCACUAUCAAUUUCUACUGGCGUGACAAUGAGUCCACUAUGGCUGCACACUAAAUCUUGUGAUGUAAUUACCAACUCUACUCUGAACUAAAAUGCCAUUAACCAAGCCAAAUAAUUUAUUUUUUUUUGAUGGGAUAAAAACCUUAAUAAGAGCAAAAAGAAAACUCAGUAUUUUUUGAAAAUGCAUGCAUUUUAAACUAGUGAAUGCCCUAUAAGUUGUAUCUAUCUCAAUACAAAAUAUUUAGAAUCUCUAAUAAAGUAUGGAUGUCUUUGGAUAACAGACCUCAUGAAUAUUACGUUGAUGCUAAUUGUGAGCAAAUGAAGAACCAUUCUGCUGAUUUCUGCCUUCCAGGCAGACAGUUACUUAGCCCCCCUCCAUGGCAGUGUUUCGAGAGGUUUCCAAGUGGGGCAGCCAGCACUGAGUCCCUCCCUCACCUCUACCUGAUGGCCACAAAUGAAUCCCUGCACUCUGUGUUGGGAAAUGACCAGUCUUCCAGCACAUCUCUGUGACAGCUUUCCCCUUGUGCCUGCUGUUGUUGACAGCUACAGGAAUCUACUUGUAGCUACAAAGUCAUGUUUGCCUUGUUUUACAAAGAUUAUUCAUGUUUAUGUUACCUUUUGUGAGCGUUAGUCUUUGAUACAGUAACUGAAAUGAAGAAUGCAUGCUUGAGUCCUGCCCUCGGCUGAGAUGGAUUCUCUUCAGUCUGUUAACUGUGAUGGAAAAAAUCAUUAGCCUUUUCCCAGUGCUCUCCCAUCCUUCUUCAGAAGACUGGAAACCCUGAAAACCCAAGGAAAAUGCAGCGAUGUGGAGCAAUAAUGGUGGUUACAGACAGGGUAGAGGUAACAAACUGUAGAGCACAGGAGAGUUUGUGAUUUAGUUUCUUAAAAUAAUCAAACAUAUUUUUGGAAAGAAAUCCAAGCAGACUGUAGUCAGAAUGGAGACCAUCAUUUCUAGGACAGCAAGGUGACCUCAAUUUCCUUCAGAGAGCAAGAGGAGGGGUAGAGGAGUGAUGGAAAGAAAGCAGGCUAGAGUUCUGAAGUAUCUUGGAUUGCCAAUACAAAAAGUACAAACAGAAGUCUGAGGAAUCUUGGUAGGAAGGUGCUGGAUUUGGCACUUUGGGCCACCAGCCUGACACAUUCAGGACAUUUCCACUGGAGAGAGCUGGGAAAAUGGCCCAAAUGUUUUGAUAUGUUUAACCUGCUUAAGAACAUGCAAUUAGACUUAAUUUUCAUGGUAUUUGUUUCUGAAUAUCACACAGAGAAAAUAAUAAGAAAAAAAUGAACAGGGAACAGCCUUCCAUGGAUGAGACUUCCAUAUUUAUUGUUAUUCCAUGUGCAUAGAAAAUGGCAGUGAAGUUCCUUAUGAAAUAGGCAGGGAAUGGGAGAGGUAUGGAUAUACUGGACUAGACUUUGUGCUUCAAAAUUACACUAUUCAUAUUUUAAAAUUUGGGCUCUUUUCUUCUUAGAAUUCACAAGAAUUGAAUUGGUUUCAAUUCUUGAUUUUGGGUUUUGUCUUUUUGUUUUGUGCAUGAUAUUUCAAAUUCCUUUUCCAAUGACACACUGCAUUACAAAUGGAUGGCACUUGAGACCAAUGUGGCAUUUCCAUAUUUACACCAACAAAGAAAUUUACAUGACGCAGUAGCAUACAAUCCUGACAUUCAAUAAUAGCAAUAAAACAAGGGCAGCCAUUGGAUUUUUUCUGUACAAACUAUCAGAACAAGACUUUUAUUCACAUUAAAAAAAAUCGGCUUUAAUUUGCUCUGACCUACACACUUUCCAAAUUCAUCAUACUCAAUUCUCAAACCUUUCAUCACAUCGCCCACACCCUCACCAGACUACAGGAGCUACAAGUAAUGAUACCUAACACCUAAGCAGAGCAAAAGCAUCCCUGCCAGCUUUUUCUCCUGACAAUUCCUCACUCAAAAAAACCCCCAAAAAACAAAAACCCCAAGACCAAAACCAAGCCACCCCCCCCCCC